AGAGUUUGAUCAUGGCUCAGGACGAACGCUGGCGGCGUGCCUAACACAUGCAAGUCGAGCGGAGACAGUGAGUAGCUUGCUAUGAGCUGUUUUAGCGGCGGACGGGUGAGUAACGCGUGAGCAACCUUUCCCAGACAGGGGAAUAACACACCGAAAGGUGUACUAAUACCGCAUAAGACCACUAGAAUCACAUGGUUCUGAAGGUAAAAGUAAUUUUAGUUCGGGGUUUUGGGGGUGGGCUCGCGUCCG
rnacentral:rRNA from 1 species